UACAGAGGGUGCAAGCGUUGUUCGGAAUUAUUGGGCGUAAAGGGCGCGUAGGCGGUGCGGUAAGUCUGCAGUGAAAUCUCUGGGCUCAACUCAGAGUCUGCUGUAGAAACUGCCGUGCUUUGAGUGUGGGAGAGGUGAGUGGAAUUCCCGGUGUAGCGGUGAAAUGCGUAGAUAUCGGGGAGGAACACCUGUGGCGAAAAGCGGUUCUCUGGGCCUUACCUGACACUGAGGAGCGAAAAGCGUGGGGAGCGAACAGG
rnacentral:rRNA from 1 species